AAGACUGUACUUUUAGGGAUUUUUUUUUAGUUUUUUUACUAGAGAAGUUUCUCUGAACAUGUGGAACACCGAAAACCACCAGGAGGAGGCAGUGUUCUCUCCUGAGUGUGAAGCCAGCUCUUGGUGUUGCUUUGCUUUGCCGCCAUAAGCUAUUGAUCAUUCUUAUUUCUUCUUUUGGGAGAGUAACAGGGACAGGAUGCAGUCUGAGUGGU